GACAGAGGGUGCAAACGUUGCUCGGAAUCACUGGGCGUAAAGGGCGUGUAGGCGGGAAUGUAAGUCGGGCGUGAAAUCCCUGGGCUCAACCCAGGAACUGCACUCGAAACUGCGUUUCUUGAGUACUGGAGAGGAAAGCGGAAUACCUGGUGUAGAGGUGAAAUUCGUAGAUAUCAGGUGGAACACCAGCGGCGAAGGCGGCUUUCUGGACAGUAACUGACGCUGAGACGCGAAAGCGUGGGGAGCAAACAGG
rnacentral:rRNA from 1 species